GUGGUGGGUGGAUGACACUGUGCCGAGAUGAGAACAAGGUGAAGGCUGUGCACAUACCUGGAGGAAGGGUGUCUCAGACAGAGAACUCAGAAUAUUGCAGCAGGAAAAAGACUGCUAUCCAGAGAACAGAGCAAACAGCUGGUGGGAAGGGUGGAAGUCCUUCUGAUAUGAGGCUAGCAACCUCUUGAGUGGUCUUGGUUGGCCAAGGCAGGAGUCUGUUUGUACCCUCGUAACUCCCACUGUGCCGAGGAAGAAACUGAAAGCCUGAGGUCAUAUAGCUGAGACCUGGUCAGCCUUCCUCAGACCUGACUUUUCCAUCUUCCAGCACCAGCCUUGGCCUGAUCUCUGCUCCCCCAGACCCUGCAUGGGAACUGCAACCCAGCAGAGUUGCUUCUGGUCUCUGUCCAACAUUAAAAUGGUCUAGGGAGGUGUGAAAUUGAGGUUAUUUUGUCUAAGAAGCUUCCUGUACCCUGACCAAUCCCAGUUUUGUUCCAAAUGGGUUAUGGGAGUAAAGGUUGGAAGACAUGGCGUUUACUGUCCCCAUUUUAUCAAGGAUAGAAUUGAGUCUGGAAAAACGAAACAAUUUGCCUAGUCUGGACUUUAACCUAAACCUCUGACUCCAGAUCUCAGGACUUUCCACUACUCCCUCAGUUCCUGCACCGUCCUGACGGUCACCUGGUUCUUCCUGUUGUCGUCCGCGAAGAUGGGAGUACAGCAGAUGAAGGAGCAGCCGCAGAGACAAGCUGCCGGCCUCCUCGGACCCCGGACUCUCAUCAGGACACGGUGGCCUGGCCGGAACCCUUCUCUCCGCGCCUGCCCUGCCGUCAGAAGUU